UCAACGGCCCUUAUCAGGGCCACAAAAAAAAGGGAAAAAAAAGUAU
rfam:Strongylocentrotus purpuratus Contig115141_fixed, whole genome shotgun sequence.